rnacentral:rRNA from 1 species
UACAGAGGGUGCAAGCGUUAAUCGGAAUUACUGGGCGUAAAGCGUGCGCAGGCGGCUUUGCAAGACAGAUGUGAAAUCCCCGGGCUUAACCUGGGAACUGCAUUUGUGACUGCAUGGCUAGAGUGCGGCAGAGGGGGAUGGAAUUCCGCGUGUAGCAGUGAAAUGCGUAGAUAUGCGGAGGAACACCGAUGGCGAAGGCAAUCCCCUGGGCCUGCACUGACGCUCAUGCACGAAAGCGUGGGGAGCAAACAGG